rnacentral:lncRNA from 1 species
UCUAUUAUUAGUCCCGAUCAUAAUAAUCCAAAAAUCUUUUUAAUAAUAAUCCUAUAUCCGUUAAUUUUCAUCUUGAAGCUAAGAUUUAUUUAUUUUGAAAAAAGUCCUAUAUUUGAUAAUUUUCAUUGUUCAAUUAAUGAUUUUAACCCUUAAUUCUUUAUUAAGAAUAAUGAUAGACAUCCCAAAUUUAAUUUUAAAUUUCAUCUCAAAUAAUAUGACAUGUGAUGUGUCGUAUUGUCAAUUCUUUAUUAAUUGUAUUAUCACAUCAUCUAAUUGAUGAAUAUGACAUCAUUUGAAAUAAAAAUCCAGGCUAUGUAAAACAAAUCCUUUGUUAAUUCUUCCAAAGAAAAGGUUAAAUACUUUCAGCUUCCAUGAAAAAUACUUUAUCAAAAUUAUUAAUAUUGGAAAUAACCUUUGGUCUUUGACGGAACUCUAUUAAAUACCUCAAAACCAACAGAUAUUGGAUCAACAAUAAUCUCAGCUAAAAACUUUCUCGCUUUAAGUUUACAACAUUGUAAAAAUUCAUUUACGAUGUUGUAAAUUCGUCCAAAAUUUUAAUUCUAAAUUAAAAAAAUUUCCCAUAAUUUGAUUACGGUGGUAUAGAUGGAUAAUGGUCUAGCAUAUAUGAUGCAAAUUAGUUAAAUAUAAUAGUCGUAAAUGAAUGGGAGUUUUAUAUUCUCUUAAACAUCAUCUUACUAGAUUUACUGAAAAUCGUGGGGUAUCACCAAUGUCCCAAUUGCAAGAUACACACUCUACGAUAUACCAAUGUCCCAAUUGCAAGAUACACAUUCUAUGAUAUAUUACAAUUGAUUAGUGUUAAAAAUUAUAUAUUUAUUAAAGAGUUAAAAAUGUUAUUUUGUGCUUUUAAUAUAAUUUACAUUUGUAAUUAUAUAACAUACUAUAAAUUUCUAAUUAUUUUUCUAAAUAUUUAAUUUUGUGUAUUUUUGUGUGUUUAUUAGGUAAAAAUAAGCAAUUUGAGGCUCCAAACAAAUUACGGAUGUCAAAUUUAGAUUCCAGAAGUCCAAGAUAUUAGGUCAUUAUCGACGAGGAACUGCCACUUUUGUUGUAAAUUUAUAAGUUUUUACCACGGUAAAUGUGGUAACUGUGGUAACUGUGAGAUUAUAAGUUUUUAUCAUGUUAGGUAUGGUAAUUGUUAGUGAAAUGUGUUGGAUGUGCUUGAUUGGAUUAAGUUAUGUUUAUGUUUUGUUAGUCGGACAAAUGUAAGGUUAAGAUAUAAUUAGUUUUAUUCAUUUAUGUGGUGUGAAUUAAUUUUGUAUUAGUAUAAAUAGAGAGGGGGGAACACACCUCUUCACACCUUUCCUUCUCUUCUUUCUCCUCAAAUUCUUCUUCUCAUACCUCUUUGUAAUAUAUUUUCAAUAAAUAAAAUUAGUUUUAUU